rnacentral:rRNA from 1 species
AUACCGCGAAACUGCGAAUGGCUCAUUAUAUAAGUNAUCGUUUAUUUGAUAGUACCUUACUACUUGGAUAACCGUGGUAAUUCUAGAGCUAAUACAUGCUAAAAAUCCCGACUUCGGAAGGGAUGUAUUUAUUAGAUUAAAAACCAAUGCCCUUCGGGGCUCACUGGUGAUUCAUGAUAACUCCUCGAAUCGCAUGGCCUUGUGCCGGCGAUGGUUCAUUCAAAUUUCUUCCCUAUCAACUUUCGAUGUUUGGGUAUUGGCCAAACAUGGUUGCAACGGGUAACGGAGGGUUAGGGCUCGACCCCGGAGAAGGAGCCUGAGAAACGGCUACUACAUCCAAGGAAGGCAGCAGGCGCGCAAAUUACCCAAUCCCGACACGGGGAGGUAGUGACAAUAAAUACUGAUACAGGGCUCUUUUGGGUCUUGUAAUUGGAAUGAGUACAAUUUAAAUCCCUUAACGAGGAACAAUUGGAGGGCAAGUCUGGUGCCAGCAGCCAAACA